GCCGCUCUACCGAUCAGCAGACGCAGACACGCCGCUCGCCCCGCUCGCAGACGCAGGAGGACUCACAGGUCCUCCCAUGUCCACCGACGUAGGAGAGUUGUUCGACGCAGACGCUAGGCAACGCCAAUAAACAUGUAGCACAGGGCCCGAACAACUGUAUUGAUCUCAUGUUAUUUUCCAGAUUG